GAUGAACGCUAGCGGCAGGCCUAAUACAUGCAAGUCGAACGGUGUCUUCGGACAUAGUGGCGCACGGGUGCGUAACACGUAUGCAACCUACCUUACAUUGGGGGAUAGCCCUUCGAAAGGGAGAUUAAUACCGCAUAAGACAGUAGCUGGGCAUCCAGCAGCUGUUAAAGAUUUAUCGAUGUAAGCUGGGCAUGCGUCCAAUUAGCUAGUUGGUGAGGUAACGGCUCACCAAGGCAAUGAUUGGUAGGGGAACUGAGAGGUCAAUCCCCCACACUGGCACUGAGAUACGGGCCAGACUCCUACGGGAGGCAGCAGUAGGGAAUAUUGGGCAAUGGACGCAAGUCUGACCCAGCCAUGCCGCGUGCAGGAUGAAGGCGUUAUGCGUUGUAAACUGCUUUUAUACAGGAAGAAACGACUCUUGCGAGAGGCAUUGACGGUACUGUAUGAAUAAGCACCGGCUAACUCCGUGCCAGCCGCCGCGGUAAGAC
rnacentral:rRNA from 1 species